rnacentral:rRNA from 1 species
CACGAAACCACUCGAGCUAAUCAAUUGCAAGUUUAGUUUAAUUCUGUUGCAUAAGCGGUGUGAAGGUUGAUUAGGGGUGAUAGGCCUUACAAGUUUGGUGAUAUCUUGAUUUCUUCGAAAAGUUAGUAUAAAUACAAAUCAGGAGUGAUAAGGUUUCUGAUUCCCAUGAAAUUGAUAGUACCACUAUUAAUAGAUUUAAUCAUUUGUUAACCAUAACACAAGUAUUACUAUUCAGCCUUUAUGGAUAAUAGAGGAAAGUACCAAACAGUAGAGAUUAUUUAUUAUGUUGACAUAAGUAAUCAUGAAGAUAUUAUUAGUGAACUCGGCAAAAAGACUUUCAACUGUUUACCAAAAACAUAGCUAUGUGGCAUUACUCAUAGUAUUUUCUGCUCAAUGAAUUUUAAAUAGCCGCAGUACCCUGACUGUGCAAAGGUAGCAUAAUCAGUUGGCUUCUAAUUAAAGUCUUGUAUCAAUGAACAUAUGGGGGUCUACUUUACCGGUAAUACAUAAUGAAGUUACUUAGAGGGUGCAAAUACCCUUACAUCUUAAUAGACGAGAAGACCCUAGAAAUUUUUACAAACGUUUUUGUUGGGGCAACAUAGUAACAGAAAAUCUACUCUAUCUACAGGAAAAGGAUUAGAAAGCAUAAAUUACUCUAGGGAUAACAGCAUAAUGUAUAAUCGUUUGUGACCUCGAUGUUGGAUUAGGAAGUUAUAGCCUAA